AUUUAAUUUUAGUUGACUAUCCUGAUGUUAAUAUUACAUAUAGGAUAACAUUCAGGAAAUGUUGUAAAUUCAGAUGUCACUGAUGCCUGCCUAAAUGUUAGUUUCGAAUUAUCUUUUUAUUCUAUUGGCAUUAUCUGUCCUUUCUUUGAGGUACCUCAGGUUUGCACUUGAAUUUAUGAGAAUAAAUACCCAUGUGAUUCCUUAGUUUGGUACUGAAAUCCUACCUUUGGAAGAAAAGACGUUACAGCUGUUGAUUCUGGUAGGUUGAGAUAAACAUGUUUACUUUGUCCUACAGGCAGUGGCAUGUAGCACAGGCCUCCUAAAUCGCGGACUUUGCCAAGAGACCUGUUUAAGGCAAUGUCGUUGUGAUUUGCAUUUUUUGAGUUCAUAAAUCCUUCCUGUCUACUCAGCCCUUUCUCUUUCUGGCAGUUGAGGAUCAUGU
rnacentral:lncRNA from 1 species